CAAAGGUCCACUGAUCGAUGAUACCUUACACAAUCCUGCUUGUAUGUGAACACACAUGACAAAAAGAGUGGCGAGGCUGCUGGACAUUGUUCUUCUCAUUCUCCCUCUCGCUCUAAAACAGACUCAUAUUUCUAAUCUUCUUAGCAAUCACAAGGUCGGACCUCUGGAAGAGAACAAAGUUCACUCUUUCAACAACAGCAGCAGAGUUUUACUGCCGACUGAACGGGAACAGUGAGAGACGAUUUUGAGAAAGUAGAGACGCCACCCGAGGGCUUUCGCAGCCCACCUGAGGACAUGAGAAAUCCAAACCAGAGAACAUUCUUGUGGAAGUAAACACCGGGAAGUUGUUACCAACAGCAUGGAGGUCCUGAGUGGCCCCUGGGCUGAUCUUGCGCUGCUCCUAAGGCAAACAGCCUCAAAGACAGACGAAGAGACGGACAGCUUCUCUCCUCUUUGGAUGUUGGGUCUGCUGUUGUUCCUGUCGGUCUGCAUGUUGCUGCUGCAGCUGAUCAUCUACUUCUGCUGGAAGCUGAGACAGGUUGAGAUGGAGUUGUCCGAGUUACCGGAGGACAGAAGCGCCAUCUACAGACGGACGCAUAGAAGUGCAACACUCAGGAGGAGAAGCGUGGGCUCCCACUACAGCAGCUGACACACCUUCUCAUUUCCCUCGCUUAACAAAGACAUUUAUACAACUCAACUGAAAAAAAAAGACAUUAUUUUGGUUCAUAAUAAAGAAGGAAUGCGACAGUAUAACAAUCCUUUAUUUAAACAGUGUUAUACAGGGGAGGAGUGGCAAUGUGGGCAGACACAAGACACUGAAGCUGCUGGAUAGAGGUGUGACAGUCGAGAAAGAGAGUGGCGGAGCUGAUGGCUGGUUUUCUUAAAUGCCAUUUUUUUAUUUCACACAAUUGAUACAAAAAUGGCGCUGGUCUGUUACACCAAAAAUGAUCUUCACUCUAUCACAAAUCCUGAGCUUUUAAUAUAAAAAUCAUUUUUUUGUAAAUGCUCUAUAUAAAAUGAUGAAAGUGUUUCCGAUGUUGUCUUUUGAGUCUGGUCAUGACAUUUUUGAAAGCCGAGCCGCGCAGCGCUGCAGCUCUGAUGACUUUUUGCGCACGUAACCGGCGGCUACAUGAAGAACAUGAAAACAUUUGAUUGGUAGUGGUGACGGUUGGCAGUCAGAAAAAUGAAAACAGAACAAUCGCAUCGUGGCUCACUGAAAUUGGAAUGCAGUAGUGGCUUAGAUGUGUUCCUACAGAUCUGAUUCAAAACUUUAAGAAGUAUUUCUGUGGCUGGCUCUCGCUGGAAUGUUUGGCGACGAAACAGCGGUUUGCUUUGUCUGGAUAAAAUGAAAAAAGUGGCCUUUAUACAGUGUUAAAAUGACCUUUAAAAGCAUAUCAGAGACAGAAAGAGCCGGCGCACGACAAAGCAAGAGGAAUGUCACAAUGAGUUAGGAGAAUCAGUUAUUGCUGAUAUCCACAUUAGAAAACCACAGUUUAUUAACACAAAUGAAAGAGACAUCGUGUACCUGCAGGGGAGGGGCUCGAGAGCACAUCAAAACCCAAUCUUCACUUCCCUUUAGGCUUCAGCAUAACGCUGUUUUCAAGUGCAGUUAUUUUUUACUCAUCUUUAAAAGGAUUUGGAUGUUAUUGUGUUUUUAGAAAUUGAAUCAGUACGCAAUAUUUCAGUGGUGGUAAGAGGUUUUUUGUCCACACAGCCAGCAUCGGAUGGAGAGAAUCUAAUCUAGACAUAUUGUAAAAGCGGUGACAGUCUAAUCAACUCUAAGAGUUUGUGCGUGGCGACAUGCUGAAAUAUUAUUUGACAAGAAUCUGUGAGAAGUGAAAUGAAGCGAGCCGCUGUCGUGAUAAAAGGCUCAGUUGAAACUCUUUUGUUGUCAUUCUGGUACCAGGAAGCACCAUAGUCUUACAUUAAUGUAACUGUUAGCAUUAAAUGAAUGUUUUUUUCCCUCCCAAAAAGUGAGCCUUAGCAUUCCAUAUCGUGAAAUUCCAUGGUCCUCGAUCAACAGGCUUCCAAAUUAGCCCGGUAGAAAAGCCUGUCGUGUUAAAGCUAAAAUCCCAGUCAGCUCUUCUACUGAGUAAACAUGAACUCUAAAUGUCUCUUCUAUUUUAUACUUUUUGGAAGAGAAUAUCAACAGUUAUUACAACAGAGAUGGAAUGUGGAUGAACUAGGAAAAAAAAAACAUAUCAAAAAGAGGAGUUAUGAAGGAAACUGGAUCCAGAAACUCAAUAAUGUAUUUCCUCAUGCAGAGGAAUCUGGGAUUCCAUAGAUUUAAAAAAAGGGAUGAAAAAAUACAAUCAGAGACGUGUUAUCUCUUCCUAUAAAUGAUGUAUGAAGUUCUGUAGAAAAUAUUUUGGAGAAAGGGGCCUUAAUAUUUGCGUUUAAACAAGAACUAUUUGUUGUAGAAAAAAUACAAAUACAAAUGAUCAGUAAAACAAUCAUUUUAAAUGUUAAUAAUCCAUAAUUUAAUUCAGUCAUGACUGGUUUUGGCUGCAUCCUACGGUUGUAUCAUUGCAAAACAGAAGCACUAAUGUAAAACAGACACUUAAGAAGAAACGCUAUCAAAAAUAAAACACGCUACAAAUGUUUAGACUAACAAAGUGGUUCUAUAGUUCCCCCCCCGAAUCAGUGAGGUUAUUCUUUUCUUGGUUUUGGAGUGAGAGGGCUUUUUUUUACACAGACAUGUAAGCAACACUCGACUUGAGGGAGUCCUUCCCUGGUUCUCUUCGUCCUCUUGAUGGGUGGGUGUCACAGGGUGGUACGAUGUCGGUGAAGGAAAUGGUCACGAUCGGCCCAUCAGCUCUGGAGGUCGGGGAGAAGAGAGAGGGAGGCAGUCGGCAAGUGGAUCAGACCACAGGCACCAGUAGUUUCAUUCAUUUUCAGCCAAACACAUUUGGUUUUCAAGCAGAGAAAUAUGCUGCAUCCAAAAUAC